rnacentral:rRNA from 1 species
GUAAUCGCGGAUCAGCAUGCCGCGGUGAAUACGUUCCCGGGCCUUGUACACACCGCCCGUCACACCAUGAGAGUUUGUAACACCCAAAGCCGGUGGGGUAACCUUUUGGAGCCAGCCGUCUAAGGUGGGACAGAUGAUUGGGGUGAAGUCGUAACAAGGUAUC